CUUUGUGUUGAUUUUUCUGCAGUUUGAACAUGGAGAAUGUAAAUUCAUGAGGAUGGAGACUUUGUCUAAUUCACUGCUUUAUUCCCACUGUCUGGAACAGUCUCUGAAGCUGGUGGCGUUCGUUCAGAGUUGGCAGCUGCAGUUUCUUGGAAGAACAGCAAACACCACUGACUUUGGAGCUACGUGCAGGCUGGCUUCACAUGCAUUGACUCCUGAGCGCCUCACAGGCUGUUUGAGCUAAGUGUCAUUAUCCCCAUUUCUGAGAUGAGGAGACUGAGGAACAGGGAGGUGAGGCACUUGGUUCAAAGUCACACAGAUACCAAGGGGUAGAGCUGGAAUUUGAGUUUGGAAGAGUGGCCCCAAGUGCAUGAGCUUCUGUGAGCUCAAUGUCUGACUUGUGCCUCAUUUACUUGACUUUUUCCAUGUA